GAUAGCAACAAUGUAACUCUCUGAUGCAGGGGUUAAAUGAAAAUUCCCUUUUGCCUUGUAAGGGACCUCCUAUAUAUACGUCCACCAAAAAUGUUACCGGCAUAAACACAUCAUUACAUAGAUAGAGUUUAUUUCUUCAUUUUCCAAAAAACAAGUUGUAAGCAUACCUGUUUGACAUACACAAUUAUCCUAUCCAUAGAUGUCGGUAUAGCCAAAUACUCCAAUACUGUUGCAUGCACAGAUAUAAUACCUCCGUGUCUGGGUAGGGCUUGGUGUGUUUGACUAAAACCAGGGCUCGAAUUGAGAGAGGGUGUCACAAACCCUUUGUUAAAGAAAAUGGCAAAAAGGAUAUCUAUUGUUUGCUUUAUAUUUUGAAAUAAAUACAUUAAACGUAUCAAGAUUAUAUCAAGCGUUAUAUAACCAUGCUUAACUCGGUGAUGCCUUAUGGUAGAAACAAGCUCUGAAAUGCCCCGGAAAGACGUGACUCCGAUGCAUAUGAGGAUAUAUUGAUUCCUCUCUAUGACAAUCGGAAGCUAAACUGCAGCCUAUAAUAUUCGAGGAGAUACAAUUUAGUCCCUAUUAAUUGAGCUUUUCUCUUUCUGAAAAGAGAAGAUGUUUGUUUAAACCCAGGCAACUUUUAGGGAAGCACUUCUGUUGUUGGAUUAUACAACGGACGAGUAGCCAGCAGUUGAAGUUUACAGUUUUCUGCGUCAAGUAGAGCCUCUGUCUGGGUGGAAAGUGAGUUUGGCGAUCUCCACGGCCAACACAGCCAUACACAGCUCCAGUCUUGGAAUGGUGAGCUCUGGCUGGGGUGUUAGUCUGGCCUUACUAAGGACAACGCCUACAUCGCUGUGACUAUCUUUGUCUGACUUUCAGUUUCACUUAGUCAUUGGCCCGCCCCCAGGAGCACAGACAGGACCUGGCGUCAUGGGAACACCCCCAGGAGCACAGACAGGACCUGGCAUCAUGGGAACAGCCCUUUUCUAUGUUCCCAAUAAAACCCCCACCUGGGUUUUCCCACUUCAGACCGAGCUUACCUCAAUUACGAGGGUUGAGACGAGACCAGUACCUCAUCACAGAGGGCUAAGAGUUGAGCAGAGACCAUAUAUUUCUCUUGCUGAAUUCUUAACCAUACCACGUGGUUAAACUCUUAGACUAUCUAACCGACAGAAUAAGAACAAAUCUUUGAUAGUAAUUACUAGUCUGCGGCUAGGAAUUCGGUAUCAUUGAACGCG